UACAGAGGGUGCGAGCGUUGUCCGGAAUCACUGGGCGUAAAGGGCGCGUAGGUGGCGACCCAAGUCAAUGGUGAAAGCUCGAUGCUCAACAUCGAGUCGGCCACUGAUACUGGGUUGCUGGAGCACUGUAGAGGCAGAUGGAAUUCCGGGUGUAGCGGUGGAAUGCGUAGAGAUCCGGAAGAACACCGGUGGCGAAGGCGGGUCUCUGGGCCGAUACUGGACGCUGAGGAGCGAAAGCGUGGGGAGCAAACAGG
rnacentral:rRNA from 1 species